rnacentral:lncRNA from 1 species
UCAUGAAUAAACAAACAGCGUGGGGGGAGCUGUCACUCCGAGCUGACUUCCUGGCUGCGAUCCGCUCCGCGACCUCCUGGCGGGGCCCAGAAGCCAGGCUGGCUGCGGUGGGCUGCGGCUGCGCGGGCUGCACUGCUCCAGCCCCGGCUUGGUCCGGGGGCGGGAAGAGGGGGUGCGGCACUGGGGUGGGAUGGGGUGCACAGGAUCCGGUUCCCAGGCUUGUCCUUGGCCACAGCCCUCCAGGCAUUAUGGCCCUUAGAGGGAGUGAGAGUGGAAUGAAGUCCCUGUAUGUCCAAGCUUGUCACACUUUACCGCUUCCUUAACUCCUGUCAUCUGCUGCACCAGAAGCUUCCCAAAGACAGCAUGGCUGAGCUUGAGACCCAGCUGGACUGCAGGACUGAGCACAUAGUGGAGCGACAGUAACCAGGGCACUUUCUGCACUCUCUGGAUUCUGCCGUGUCCUGGACUGGGACAUGACGGACCUUGUGCAGCUCUGGAGCUGGGCCCUGGCGGUCCUAGAGAACUCUGAACACUCCAGCUGCCCGGCACUGCUCACCAUUCCCCAAAUGCCAUGGGUGUGCCUUGCUGCUAAGCCUUUUCCUCCCUGCCCUCCAAGCCUGGAGUUCUGGUACCUGCUCCAACUCUAGGGCCAACUUCUCCAGGAGACACUAUUCAGAGGAGGCCUCUGGCUGCCAUGUUCCCUCCCUCUCUCUACUACUGUCCUCACAGGAUCUGCAGGCUACAUGCUAGUGUCUGUGAGGGGUGAGGUCGCCAUACUGUCUGCGGGCAGGUGAGGGACCACAGCUCUGUGAUGGGGCCUGAGUGUUACAUGCAGUUCCAAAGCCGAUGGGGAAAGGCCUGGCCCCACCCUAUUGGGUAAGGGACACAUCUGGGUCAUUCGCUGACAGGAGAGCCCUUGCUCACCCUGGAACAGAUCUGACCUCUUCCACUUUUCCCUGACUUUGCCUCUCAGUCAGCUUCAGGGUUCAUGGGCCAGGCAGUGGGAAUUGGAAUGACAGUACAGUAUAUGAUCUGGGCUGUGUACCAGCUGGUUGUGUGGGUCUGGCCCAUUCUGCCUCAGUAAGUCUCAGUUUCCUCCAUUAUAAAAUGGAAUGCCUGUUGCCAUCUCAUAAGGUUUUUGUGAAAGUUACAGGAGCCACCAUGCCUGUCCCUUCCUGCCUCAGGGUCUCUCUGCCUAGAAUAAUUUCUUUGCUUCCCCCAUGGCCUGCAUAGCUCCAAUUCAUCUUGCAGAAGAGCUGGACUCAAUGUUGCCUCCCCCAGGAAGCCCUCCCUUGUUACUAGUUCCAAUCAGGUGCCCUCACU